rnacentral:ncRNA from 1 species
GUACGAAAAUGGCAAAAUCAUUGAAAAAUGAUGACGCAAAGCUACAGGGACUAAGUUGGAUUUUCCAAUAAGUCAGCCAGCUUUCGAA